rnacentral:rRNA from 1 species
GCUGGCGCUGCUAUACUGCAAGUCGAGCGGACAGAAGGGAGCUUGCUCCCGGAUGUUAGCGGCGGACGGGUGAGUAACACGUGGGUAACCUGCCUGUAAGACUGGGAUAACUCCGGGAAACCGGAGCUAAUACCGGAUAGUUCCUUGAACCGCAUGGUUCAAGGAUGAAAGACGGUUUCGGCUGUCACUUACAGAUGGACCCGCGGCGCAUUAGCUAGUUGGUGGGGUAAUGGCUCACCAAGGCGACGAUGCGUAGCCGACCUGAGAGGGUGAUCGGCCACACUGGGACUGAGACACGGCCCAGACUCCUACGGGAGGCAGCAGUAGGGAAUCUUCCGCAAUGGACGAAAGUCUGACGGAGCAACGCCGCGUGAGUGAUGAAGGUUUUCGGAUCGUAAAGCUCUGUUGUUAGGGAAGAACAAGUGCGAGAGUAACUGCUCGCACCUUGACGGUACCUAACCAGAAAGCCACGGCUAACUACGUGCCAGCAGCCGCGGUAAUACGUAGGUGGCAAGCGUUGUCCGGAAUUAUUGGGCGUAAAGGGCUCGCAGGCGGUUUCUUAAGUCUGAUGUGAAAGCCCCCGGCUCAACCGGGGAGGGUCAUUGGAAACUGGGAAACUUGAGUGCAGAAGAGGAGAGUGGAAUUCCACGUGUAGCGGUGAAAUGCGUAGAGAUGUGAGGAACACCAGUGGCGAAGGCGACUCUCUGGUCUGUAACUGACGCUGAGGAGCGAAAGCGUGGGGAGCGAACAGGAUUAGAUACCCUGGUAGUCCACGCCGUAAACGAUGAGUGCUAAUGGUUAGGGGGUUUCCGCCCCUUAGUGCUGCAGCUAACGCAUUAAGCACUCCGCCUGGGGAGUACGGUCGCAAGACUGAAACUCAAAGGAAUUGACGGGGGCCCGCACAAGCGGUGGAACAUGUGGUUUAAUUCGAAGCAACGCGAAAAACCU